rnacentral:rRNA from 1 species
GCGGACGGGUGAGUAACGCGUGGGUAACCUGCCCUGUACAGGGGGAGUAACAGCUGGAAACGGCUGCUAAUACCGCAUAAGCGCACGAGGAGACAUCUCCUUGUGUGAAAAACUCCGGUGGUACAGGAUGGGCCCGCGUCUGAUUAGCUGGUUGGCAGGGUAACGGCCUACCAAGGCAACGAUCAGUAGCCGGUCUGAGAGGAUGAACGGCCACAUUGGAACUGAGACACGGUCCAAACUCCUACGGGAGGCAGCAUG